UACGGAGGAUGCGAGCGUUAUCCGGAUUUAUUGGGUUUAAAGGGUGCGUAGGCGGUCCGGAAAGUCAGCGGUAAAAGCCCGGGGCUCAACCCCGGCGAGCCGUUGAAACUGUCGGACUAGAGACGGCGAGAAGUACGCGGAAUGCGCGGUGUAGCGGUGAAAUGCAUAGAUAUCGCGCAGAACUCCGAUUGCGAAGGCAGCGCACCGGCGCCCUACUGACGCUCAGGCACGAAAGCGUGGGUAUCGAACAGG
rnacentral:rRNA from 1 species